UUCCUUAAUCUCUCUCAGGGCAGAUCUGCUCUGCAGGUAGUGUGCCCUACAGCUUACAGAGAGAAAUACACACCCUGUUUCCUGCCUAAAAUCCAUUUUAUGCUCCUUGACCUCUCAGCAGCAUUUGACACAGUUGACCACCACAUCCUGUUGCUGUCUUCCCUGACUGCCUUGGUGAUCUGCCAUACAACUCUCAACUGGUUUGCUUCCUACCUUGGCAGUUGCUCCUUCCUGGGGAUGUCACAGUUUCAGGUUUCCAAGGCAACCAGCGCUAGGCACAACAGACUUCAUGGAGGAAUUUUCUGUCUGCACUUCUUAAGAACGAGAUCAUUGGGUAACGAGUGGAACGUUCCUACCUCGAGACUGCAUCCUACAACUGUGCAGUCAGCCAUCCUCAACAGACGAACGGUCACUACAAUGUCACUAAUCGGGUUUCUAUGCGUGUGACUCCACAGAAAAGAACCCUGCCAUUGCACAUCGCUAUAGUAGGGUUACAUUUUCUUUUUUUUAAAUGCAGCAGCAUUAAUAUGCAAACUCCACUGCCAAUUCAGAAGAGUGUAAACAUCCACAUUUCUGCAUCUUUUCACACCGCAGAGUACAGCUAAGCUAACAUGGAGUGGAGUCGGAGGAAGACCAUUAAUUUGCGGCUUUAACCAUGCUGUCCAUGGGUGCUCGAUUGACCAGUGGGGGUUAUUAGAUAGUGAUGAAGUGCAGAUCCCUAACCAAAUGAACCCUCCCAUACCCUGGGAAACACAAACACCAUUUCAGAUAAUAACAGAAACAUAAAGUGUAAAUUAAGGUAUUUUGAUUGUUUAACAAGUGCAGUGCUAUUGUUCACAAAGUGUCUCUACCAAAGUCAUGGAAAGAGGAAAGUUUAGAGAAAGAAAGGAACUGGAAUUAUGCCACCUCAUGCGUGAAACAUGGUGGAGUAGUAUUACCGUUUGGACAUGUAUGGCUACCAACUGGAACUGGCUCACUUGUCUUUAAUGGGGAUAAAUGCAGGAUCACGUUCCCAAACAUACUGCUUAUUCAGCCAAGGAGUUUUUCAGGGCCAGACACCCCUCCUGAAUUCUAGUGAACAUGUAUUUCACUUGGUGAAGACAAAGCUGAAGGCAAAACGGCCCAGAAACAAACAGGAACUGAAGACUGCAGUAGAGAUCUGGCAGAGCAUCCCCAUGGAAUAUAUCUAGCGCCUGGUGAUGUUUAAGAGUUGCAGACUUCAGACAGUCAUGGAAUGCAAAGGAUUUGCAACCAAGUAAAAAAAAAACUUUGUUACUUUAUUUCAGAUUAUGUUAAUUUGUCCAAUUAAAUGGGGGGACUAUGUACAUAUAAAAAGGGCUGUAAUUCCUACAGCACGCAGAUCA